CUUCGUUAAUACCAGCUUGUGUUCCUAAAUGUACUCGGCACUAAUCAUAUGUAAGACAGAUGGAAGAAGACAGAAACAUAUUUGAAGGUUUGAAGCUGUACAGGGAAUGCUGUACACUUACCAGCGCCCCACGAAUCCUCACUUUCAGUCCAGCUCGUAUGACUGGAGGUCGCCUCCUCAGUAGCACAGCAGGCUGUCAUAGCUUCCCGAUCACAUGUUCAUUUUCCAUCCCAGGAGGAGGAACGUUAUCUUAAAGGAUCAGCAAUUCUAAGUUGUUCUUCUGGCUACUACUAAGCACUGUGCUACCCCUGCCUUUCUGAAGAGAUACUCAAGCAAUGUUCCCUUGCAACAGAAAUCAAAGCCUGGAGGUCAUUUCCAGAGGAUGAAUAUCUGAAAAUAGCUGUUGCUGCUUGUCGUGACUUUAGAUAGUUUUAUAUAAUUGUGACAUGGCUGCAUUUCAAAUUGACACUGUGCCAGUUGCUUGUGGGAACAAUAUGGGGUAAUGUAAUUCUAAAGUGUGCCCACGUCUAGUAACCCAUAGCAACCAGAGGUGUAUUUUUAAACAGCAGACCGGUAGAUGAAACCAGCUGGUUUGAUUGUUUUGUUUUAUUUGAUUGAAGACUCAGUUGCAUGAA